rnacentral:rRNA from 1 species
UUAAAGCCCCUCGCUUACACCGAGCCAAUAUCUGUUUAACUCAGAUCAUUUUGAGCCUAAAAUCUAGCCCAUAAAACUCUUAUGUAAAUAUUAACUUACUGAUUUAUAACAAAACAUUUUUAUAUUCUAGUACAGGAGAUCGAAAAAUUACUAAGCGCAUUAGAUGAAGUACCGCAAGGGAAUGAUGAAAUAAAAAUGAAAUAACUUUAAAGCCUAAAAUAGCAGAGACACCCCCUUGUACCUUUUGCAUCAUGGUCUAGCUAGUCUAACCAAGCAAAAAGAAUUUUAGUUUGACACCCCGAAACUAAGCGAGCUACUUCAAAACAGCCCUUUGGGGCCAACCCAUCUCUGUUGCAAAAGAGUGGGAAGAUCUUCAAGUAGAGGUGAAACGCCUACCGAGCCUAGAGAUAGCUGGUUGUUCAGGAAAAGAGUUUAAGCUCUACCUUAAGUUUCUAUAUUUUACAAAAAAAAAUUUUUAACUCAAGAGCUAUUCAAAUAAGGCACAGCUUAUUUGAAACAGGAUACAACCUAAAACACUGGGUAAAUAAGGGUAACCCAAACAAAGUGGGCCUAAAAGCAGCCACCUUUCAAAAAGCGUUAUAGCUUAACUAUAACUACCCCUAAUCUUAUUCAUUAUUCUUAACCCUUCAUCUGUACUGAACUAUUUUAUACCCCUAUAAAAAAUAUUAUGCUAGAACUAGUAACAAGAACUCGAUUUUCUCCAAAAUGUAAGCAUAAGCCAAAACGGACUAUCCAUUAGCACUUAACGUAAAUGCCUUCACCAUAGCAACAAAUCUCAAGAAAACCCUAUAACCUUACACGUUACCCUAACACCAGAACAUUUAAGGAAAGAUUAAAAGAGAAAGAAGGAACUCGGCAAAUUUCAGCCCCGCCUGUUUACCAAAAACAUCGCCUCUUGACAAAACAUAAGAGGUCCAGCCUGCCCAGUGACAAACUUUAACGGCCGCGGUACCCUAACCGUGCGAAGGUAGCAUAAUCACUUGUUCUUUAAAUAGGGACUAGUAUCAACGGCACCACGAGGGCUGUACUGUCUCCUUUCUCUAAUCAGUGAAACUGAUCUCCCCGUGAAGAAGCGGGGAUUAAACUAUAAGACGAGAAGACCCCAUGGAGCUUUAAGCAAUGUAUUCACCCCACCUUUACAUCAACCAAACAUAAGAGACCUGAAUACUAGCUUUAGGUUGGGGGGACCACGGAGUAUAAUAUAACCUCCAUGACAAACGGGCCACGCCCUUAUCCACGAGCUACAACUCUAAGAAUCAAUAAACUGAUGUUUUAUGACCCGAUAAUUCGAUCAACGAACCAAGUUACCCUGGGGAUAACAGCGCAAUCUACUUCAAGAGCCCAUAUCGACAGGUAGGUUUACGACCUCGAUGUUGGAUCAGGGUAUCCCAGUGGUGCAGCCGCUAC